UAAUACGUAGGUGGCAAGCGUUGUCCGGAUUUAUUGGGCGUAAAGGGAGCGCAGGUGGUUUCUUAAGUCUGAUGUGAAAGCCCACGGCUUAACCGUGGAGGGUCAUUGGAAACUGGGAAACUUGAGUACAGAAGAGGAAUGUGGAACUCCAUGUGUAGCGGUGGAAUGCGUAGAUAUAUGGAAGAACACCAGUGGCGAAGGCGACAUUCUGGUCUGUUACUGACACUGAGGCUCGAAAGCGUGGGGAGCAAACAGG
rnacentral:rRNA from 1 species